GGUAGCCGGCCUGAGAGGGUGUCCGGCCACACUGGGACUGAGAUACGGCCCAGACUCCUACGGGAGGCAGCAGUGGGGAAUAUUGCACAAUGGGCGCAAGCCUGAUGCAGCGACGCCGCGUGAGGGAUGACGGCCUUCGGGUUGUAAACCUCUUUCACCAGGGACGAAGCGCAAGUGACGGUACCUGGAGAAGAAGCACCGGCCAACUACGUGCCAGCAGCCGCGGUAAUACGUAGGGUGCGAGCGUUGUCCGGAAUUACUGGGCGUAAAGAGCUCGUAGGUGGUUUGUCGCGUUGUUCGUGAAAUCUCACGGCUUAACUGUGAGCGUGCGGGCGAUACGGGCAGACUGGAGUACUGCAGGGGAGA
rnacentral:rRNA from 1 species